GGCCACACCUGUGGCAUAUGGAAGUUCCUGGGCUAGGUGUCAAAUAAGAGCUGCAGCUGAGGGCUACACUAUAGCCACAACAACACUGAAUCCAAGCCACAUGUGCAAUGUAGGCUGCAACUUGCAGCAACACCGGAUCCUUAACCACUAAGCAGGGCCAUGGACUGAACCUGCAUUCUCAGAGAAACAGCAUCAGGUCCUUAACCUGCUGAGCUACAAUGGGAACUCUGUCAUGUGAAUUUCUUUUGGAUGAAGUCAAAGCUUGGAGCAGCAACAAUUAGAUCAAAAGUGUCUUUAGAAGGGUAGUAAGCAUAGUCUGAGAUAAUACUCUCUUUAUAAUGCAGAAAAUUUUCUAUUAAUAUUAUCACUAUUGGAAGAUACCCAUUUCAUUAUUUAGAAGGUGGAUAAAUAUUUAUAUAUGGCGUAUGCGUGUGUGUAAAUCAAUUUAUUUUACAAGUUAAAAAAAAACAAAAAAUUCCUUUGGUACUAUCAUCUAUAGUGACAAAACAGUUAGAAUAGAAACCACACUACUUUUCAAACAGGUUUAUGAGGAUAUUACUGAAGUGAAAUCUUAUGAUAAAAUUUCCUCUGGACUGAGGAACAUGAAAUUAAAUAAUAAGAAAAUGACAUAAGUGAAAACCAUUACAUUCAUGGGCAUUAAGCCAGGGUUUAAAAAGUAGAUAUUAUAGGGGAAAAAAGACAUAAAAGAGAAAAUUAAAGUAUCAAUGCCUUUGGAAACCAUUUAGGACACUAUUCCUAGAAUAGUGUGAUUUUAUAAUGACUUAGGUCAUUCUUCCAUAUGAUACCAUUAGGUAAAAUGACAGUAUCAACUCCCCCCUCUAUCGCUGAUAAAAGAUUUGGGCAUUUCAACAGUCUCACUUCAACCCAUAGGAAAGGUAAGGUAGGCUGUCUCUCGUAGCACAAUGUAAUGAAUGGCACUGAAGCCCCUCUAAUUCCAGGAACAUAAAAAUCCUGGACAAAACUGUUCAUUCACAGUUCAGCUAUAUGUAGAGAAAAAGGUAUCCCUAGUUUCCAGAAGCAGAAAGGCAAAUUAAAGCUACAGGUUGAUACCAUGGUACUUCAGGAUGUUAUCAAACCUGAAAACAGGCCCAGGUAGCAAGAGGCUGGAGUUGUAAUGCCCACAGCGGGUAUGGUUUUGUGCCUGUAUGGAGUUCAAUUGAGGAAAUGGAAUUGAAAUGCCUGCCAAAAGUCAUUAAAGAGGACUUUUUGAAAAAACUACACUGUCUAGGGCAGAGAGGCAGCAAGGUCAAUUGUCAUCUGCCCAGUCUUCUCGCUGAGAAAUAAUUGAGUUCUCUCAGAAGCCAAAAUCACAGGCUCUGAUGCACAUGCAGAUAUCCAAAUUCAUGUAUCCCAUAAGAUAGAGACAUCCCACAUUUAGAUAUUAAUAUCAAAAUCAUCAUCUGAUAUGAAAUCCCAGAGGUCCCUGUCAGGAGAAAAGGGCACUGCCACAAACCUAGAAGCCCUUCCCAGAAAAAAGAUUAUUCUAAAAAUUUCCCCAAUAUAUUUUCUAAAAUUAGGGUAAUUUUGAUAUUCCAAUUAAAAGAUAAUAAAGGGACUGGGGAUUUGGGGUUGGCAUAUGCACACUGUGGUAUACUGAAUGACUGGCCAAUGGUGACCUGCUGUACAGCCCAGGGAACUCUACCCAAUAGUCUGUGAUAGUCUAUAUGGGAAAAAUCCAAAAAAGCAUGGGUGUGUGUACAUGUAUAAUGGAAUCACUUUGUUGUACAGCAGAAAUUAAUUAUCACAACAUGUGUAAAUCAAACUAUACUUGAAUAAAACUUUUAAAAAUGAAAAAAAGAAAAAAUAUAAUAAAGGAAAACAAUAUACCAAUCUCACUUAGGGAUGUAAUAUUAAAUCUUCAAUAGUAUAUUAGGAAACUGAAUGUAUCACUCUAUUAAAUAAACCAAGGAUUCCAUUUCCAUUAGUAUGUUGAACAACCCUACCUUGGAAAAUCAAAAGAAUAUAUGAUAACUUUUAAAAAUCAUCACUGAAAUGAGAAAAACUGAAUUCUCAAAUGUCAAUAACAAAUUCAAAGUACUAAAGAGAGCUGAGCAACCGCAGAAGGCAGUUUUUAAACUGAGGCCUUGUACUGAACUCUUGCUCAUUGGAGGAGGAAAAAUAUCUCCCUUGGAAUUUCUAAAUGCACACUGAUCCUAAACAGAUGAGUCUGCAGCUCAAUUUCACACUACUUGCAAGUAAAACAUUAACUCUUUCCUGGAAGAAUAAUCUUCACGCCCCCCCCCCACACACAAUGUUGCAAGGAGUAUAGACAUAAUAAAAAUUCAUAAAAUACACAAGGAAACAAGGUAUCACGAUCAAGUCAGAAAAAAGAAUCAGUUACUCAAAAAUUUCAUGCACAGGAAACAUUAGGCACAAUAUAAAAUGAUUAUGUUUAAAAUAUCCAAAGAUGGGAGUUCCCAUCCUGGCUCAACAGUAAUGAACCUGAGUUGAAUCCAUGAGGACACGGGUUCAAUCCCUGGCCUUGCUCAGUUGGUUAAGGAUCUGGCAUUGCUGUGGGCUGCGGGGUAGAUCGCAGACGCAGCUAGGAUCCUGUGUUGCUGUGGCUGUGGCAUAGGCUGGCACCUGUAGCUCAAAUUCGACUCCUAGCCUGGGGACUUUCAUAAGCCACGGGUGCGGCCCUAAAAAGAAAAAAACCAAAAAAAAACAAAUAAACAAAUAAAAGAAGAAACUGAAAAUACCAGCAAAUACCUAUAAAAGUAACUAAACAAAUUACAAAAAAAGAAUCCAAUGGGAUAUCUAAAAAUUUUUAAAUACUGUAAAAUUUGAAUUUGAAUAUUCAAGAUCAGCUAAACAACAGAUUAAAUAGAGAUGAGGAAAAAUUAAUAAUUGAUAUGAAGAAAUUAUCCAGAAUGUAUAAUAGAGGAAAAAUGAUAGUAAGUAUAUUAGAGAUUAAGAGAAACAUUAAAUAAACUUCUUCAAAGUUAAAAAAAAGGGUUUUCAGACCCCUGAUCUAAACAAUCCUAAAUAAAAUAUUAAUAAAUUAGAAACUGUUUUUGGUAUCCUGACCAGAUCCCUUUUACCAGUUGAUACACACAUCCUCCAGCUGUUGUAAUGCUUCUCUGGAGAACUGACCUCAUCUGCAUGCUUUGCACAUGUGCUCCUACUGGGAGCAGCCACUGAUGAACUGAUAUUAAUUACAAAAGCUUAGCCCAUUUGUCUCAAGGCAGGAAAUCUCUGGAAGGGUACUCCAAACAAAACUGUACCUGAGACUACCUCCUUGAUUGGUUCUUUCCCCUUCCUUCCUACAGACAACUCUUUCAAUAAUUCACUUGGAACCAAACAUCUGUCUGCUUUUAGUUUCCUGAACUAAUAUACAAACUAAAAAAAGCAAUGUAAAAAAACACAAAACAUAGUUAAAUUAGGUUUGUUCAAGGAUAUAAUUUAUCUCAGCAAUAGAAUUAAAGAGAAAAUCCUAUGACUUUCUGAAAUAUUUAAAUUAUGUUUAAUUUAAAAAACAUAUAUUAGUAAAUUUGGUAUAAAAAGAAACUUUUUUAAAAGCAAACAUUGAAUUCAAUGCUAAAAUAAAGGAAAUAUUCUUUUUAAGAUAAUGAAUAAGACAAGCAUGCCAGUUAUUAUCACUUUUGUUUAGCCUUGUAUUAGAGGACUUAGCUAGUACCUCAAAAAAGAAAAAACAACCUAAAAAUAGAAUGAUUGAACAGGUAUACUCAAAAUUGUCAUUAUUCACUUAAGAUACUUGUCUAUAUAAAAACCAAAAAGUAACUACAGUUAAAUUUAUAUUAUUAAAGUGAGAGUUUGACAAGUUUGCUAGAAAAAAAUUAAUAUACAAAAAUCAAGAGCAAAGUUCCCUUAGGGCAUAGCAGGUUAAGGAUCCAGCAUUGUCACUGCAGCAGCUCAGGCCACUGCUGUGGUGUGGGUUCAAUCCCUGUCCCAGAAAGUUCACAUGUUGUGAAUUUUUUUUUCAGAUUCUUUUCCGAUAUAGAUUAUCACAGAAUAUUGGGUAGAGAUCCCUGUGCUAUAGAGCAAAGAAUAAAUCUAAUAAAAGUUGUGCAAGAUCCUUUUACAGGUAAUUACAAAGCUUAUUACUAAAGAAAACCUAAAUGGAUAGACUAUAAUUUGGAAGAUAUAAUAUCAUAAAUAUGUAAAGUAUCCCCAUACUAUUUUCAAUUUAAUUUCAAUCAAAAUUUCAUAUGCUAUGAAAGAAUAGUGCAAUAUUUAUUCAUCUUAGUAAUGUUAUGGGGAAUAUGUUUAAGAGUAUGGAUUUGGCAAUCAGUCAGCUAGGGUUAAAAGUCCAGCUCUACCAGAGUUCCCUUUGUGGCACAGUGGAAACGAAUCCAACUAGGAACAUGAGGUUGCGGGUUCGAUCCCUGGCCUCACUCAGUGGGUUAAGCAUCGGGCGUUGCCGUGAGCUGUGGUGUAGUUUGCAGACACGGCUCGGAUCUGGCGUUGGGAUCUGGCGUUGCUGUGGCUCUGGCAUAGGCUGGCAGCUGUAGCUCCGAUUAGACCCCUAGCCUGGAACCUCCAUAUGCCGCAGGUGCAGUCCUAAAACGACAAAAAGACAAAAAAAAAAAAAAAAAAAAAAAAAAAAAAAAGUCCAGCUCUACCACUUUCUGACUAUGAGACUUCAAUAAAGUUACUUAAUGUGUAACUUCAUUUAUAAAAUGAAUAUAAAAGUAUUUACCUCAUAGGAGUGUUGUAACAAUUGAGUUAAUAUGUAUAAAAUACUACAAUGAUUGAUUUUAUGUCAAUUUAAUUCGGCCAAGGGAUGACCAGAUUGCUGGCUAAACUUUAUUUCCCGGUAUGUCUGUGAGGGUGCUUCUAGAAAACACAGGCAUUUGAAUUAGUGGACUUAGUAAAGAGG
rnacentral:lncRNA from 1 species